GGGGUGUCCUCAGAGCAGGGUCCCCUAAAAUGGUCAAUCUAUUAAUUACACACCAACAGGAAUUUGGGGUUAGUUUUCAUGGGAGACACAACCUUCUGUGGCAUCCUGUUCUGUAUAAGUAUUGCUAAUAACU